CUGUAAUUCAUAUAAAAACUCUUGUUAAAAAGUUGAGGAAAAAAGUAGAAUUCUGGCCCAGACCUGCCUGCCACUGGGCCAAGAGAAAGACACCCAAGCGCCUGCCUCAGGCUCCAGUAUGAUGAAUGAAUAUGUGAUGGAGAGAUGGGAAAGACAGAGUGCACGGUAGAGAAAUGGGAGAGACGUAGAAGCCGAGAGAUGUGGGCUGCCAUCCUGAGUGCUGCAGCUGGCACGGGGCAGGGCAGCUUUUCUGCUAUCACACGCUCUUCCAGGCCAGCUCUCCUGUGAAGCCCAGGUGAGGGGUGGAGCCGGUUCUUCACAGCUUUCAGACUCCAGCAUGGUCCCAUAUUGCAGCCCAGACACCUGCCGGCUACUCCCAUGAGGCUGCUCCUCACUACCCUUGACUCUCCAGGUCUGCCUCUCUUCGUUGUGCACGCAUCUUUCUGCUUCUCUUUUUCUUCCACCUCUCCACCACUUACUUGCUCUUCUUAGUUGCAUGUGGGGCUUCUGGGGUCCUGGAGUCUUCUCAGGAGUGCUAUACUACUCCCUUGUGGCCCUAGGGUCUCAGAUGUGGUCUGCCCACCUCCGCCUGCGUGGCACCAGGCAUGUAGGACUCGUGAGAACCUGAAACAUUAUCCUAUGUAUGCACUCCCACCCCCAACCAAGGCCUCUGAUUUCAGAAUUGCUUCUAAGGCAGCUUCACACCCUUGCACUUUGGACCUGUAGCUAGAGAGAAAAUAACUAGCCACAGUAUUUUGAUUGCCUACCUUCCAUUGUACCAGAUAGUGAAUUGUCUCAUAGAUGCCAAAAGGUGUCCUGCAUUUAAUCAUAAACCUUUACAAAUACUUACUUAUUUUAUGUGUGUGCAUUUGUGUGUGCCUGAGUGCACGCACAUGUAAAAUAGGUGUGUGCAAGUAACUGGAGUUACAGAUAGUUGUGAGCUACCAUGCAGCUGCUGAGAAUAGAACCUGCCUCCUCUGCAAGAACAGGAAGUGCUCAUCACCACUGAGACAUUUCUCCAGCUCCACAAGUCUUUUAAUUUUUUUUUUUGUCAGUGUAUAAGGCAUGUGCAGGAGCACUGAGAUCUAUCCCUAACUGUCCUUUAUCUCUUCUGAAAGGAAGAGCUCCCACCUCCCUGCUGACCUUUGACCUCCUCUACUCUGAAAAGGGACUUCUGGACCCCAGGCCUUAUCUUUACCUUGUACCCGUCUUACAGCUGUAUGCUGCCUCCUAAUAGUACGGCUGGUGGUGUUUACAGACCACAUUUUAUUUUGAGACAGUAUCUUGCUUGGUUGCCUAGAUUGACCUUGAAUUUACUGUGUAGCCCAAGCUGACCUCUUCCUUGCAAAACACCUGUAUCAGCGUUCUCGAAGUAGAAUUACAGUCACACCCAUCAAACCCAGAAAGAUAGUUUUUAACACGUUGAUUUAUGCACGUAUGCUUUCUGUCUCUAUCUUCCUCCUUCCCUCUCUUCCUCCCUUCCUCCCUCCCUUCUUCCCCUCUCUCCCAUUCCUCUAGGAAGGGAUCAGAUGAAGCCAUCAUCACUGAUCCUAGUUUCUUUUAAUACACUAGAUUCAACCCUUGUCAGGUUUGAGGCUGGUGCUUACUCCAAGACCACUCACGUGUGUAAUUGAAGUUGGUUCAGCACGACAAUAAAGAAGAUUCUUCUCAGGACAAGACCGCAGCAACUUUCAUACAUGGGCGUUCCGAGUUGCAGGAAUUUUCCACAGUAGGGCAGGCCAUUUCAUCCGGAGCUCUGUUUCCAAAUGUGUUUGCCCUGAGCCUGCUCUGGUUUCCCUCUCACUCGCGUCUCUCAGUGGUGUCUGCUCGCAGUUGCCACAAGAGGGUGCCAAAUACACGCAGAGAAGCAGAGAGGCGUGUCUGCUCCUAGACACCUAGCCCUUCCCAUUGGUCAGCUGGCUGACUCUAAAGAGUGCUUUAGUUAGAGUGAUUCAGUAGUCAAGAUUCAAAGUCAUCAAGCUCUUAAUUGCAAUUUUAGGGAUUGGUUUGGUUUGGUUUUCCUGCACCUAGCCUUUCCCAGUCCACAGAGCAGAAGGCAUGCUAUGGAUUCUGGCCCUACUUCUAGCUUUCUUGCCUGCUGGCAGACAAACAUCCUCCAGCUUGGAAGCGAGAAUAAAGUCAAUCACCAAGACAAGGGGAUCCACUGCUAAAAUCACUUGUGAUACUCACACAGCGGACAAGUACAUACACUGGUACCGAUUCCAAAAAGGGAGCGCCCCACAACAUCUUCUCUACUAUAGCCUCAGCACUUCCGCAACUGUGGUGGAUGCCAGGUUCGAUUCAAAGAAAUACCAUGUUUAUGAAGGCACAGACAACAGUUACACAUUUGUGCUUCUGAAUUUGGAAGAAUCCGAUUCUGCGCUAUAUUACUGUGCCACCUGGACAGACACAGUGAUUCAGCCCUGCUCUCACCUGUACAGAAAGUAUUAGAUCACAGCUGUUCCUAGUGUGCAAGACAGACAAGAUCCCACCUCAUUUCUUACCUCUGACCUUCUCUGCCCCAAAAGGAAAUUCUGGACCCCCAUGCCUUAUCUUUACCGUGUACCCAGCCCAUUUCCCUCUUUCCAGCUGUACCUGGCCUGUAACAGUAUCUCUGGACAUUUUUACAGACCAAACUACUAUGUCUAAGCCUUGACCAAGGACCCUAACUGAAAAAAUAAUACUUUCAGCUCUCUUUGGGCCUGCUAGAGGCACAUCCAGCUGGCAGUCAAGGAUGGCUUUGAAUUGAUAUUUGUCACAAGAUACUUACCUCAGAGAGCAUUUUGGGAAAACCAGUCAAGUUGAUCCAUGCAUGUGAUCAUGACACAGAGAAAAUGGCAUGGCUAAUAAUUUUUCAUUACUUAGAUUAUGAGAAAUGGCCGAAUAAAAUCUUUGGUCUUCCUGAAGACUUCAUGCACACUUACUUAUUGUCCUUUGAAUGAACUGAUUUUUCAGUCACCAUCACACUCACAAUAUUGUUGUUGAAAUGAUAAUAAGGAAACAUACAUGUAAAUAUGCCAACUAUUAUGUCUACUUAAAGAACAUAAAUUCAACACACUGAAUUUCAAAGAUAUAACUAGACUCCUUUAGGGACUCAGCAGUGAAGGUUUCCAAACUACAGAACAGACCGGAGCUCCGCUGGCAUUUGCAUAGCAGCUGGAGCCUAACAGGAAGCAGCAUGGUUCCCGGAGAAGAUUGUCAACAUCUGGCUAGUGUUGCUGUGUGGGCUGAAAUGGGGGUGGGGGGUGGAAGCUUGGUUACUGUGCACCAUAGGUCGACUAGCCCUUUUGUGGAUCUCCUUGCUGUUAUUAUCUUUAGGAACUGUUGGCAAGCUGGCUUAUUUCUUCUGGCUACAGUUUCUCUCCUCUGCUCCUGGAGAAGCUAACUGCUUGGGUUGGGUUUGGAGACACUGGGGACUUUCAACAGAAUACUACGUUACAGUUUAGCCUGUUGGUCCCUUGGAACCAGAACUCGAUCUCUACCAAUGGCCUUCUGUGGAUGCUUUUUGAUGCACAAACUGAAAUUCAGCCCAAAGAUAGAAUUGCUUUGCUUUAACUAACUAAAUAAAAGUCUCCUUUCAAAGCCAA